GACGAACGCUGGCGGCGUGCCUAAUACAUGCAAGUCGAGCGAGUCUGCCUUGAAGAUCGGAGUGCUUGCACUCUGUGAAACAAGAUACAGGCUAGCGGCGGACGGGUGAGUAACACGUGGGUAACCUGCCCAAGAGAUCGGGAUAACACCUGGAAACAGAUGCUAAUACCGGAUAACAACAGAUGAUGCCUAUCAACUGUUUAAAAGAUGGUUCUGCUAUCACUCUUGGAUGGACCUGCGGUGCAUUAGCUAGUUGGUAGGGUAACGGCCUACCAAGGCGAUGAUGCAUAGCCGAGUUGAGAGACUGAUCGGCCACAUUGGGACUGAGACACGGCCCAAACUCCUACGGGAGGCAGCAGUAGGGAAUCUUCCACAAUGGACGCAAGUCUGAUGGAGCAACGCCGCGUGAGUGAAGAAGGGUUUCGGCUCGUAAAGCUCUGUUGUUGGUGAAGAAGGACAGGGGUAGUAACUGACCUUUGUUUGACGGUAAUCAAUGAGAAAGUCACGGCUAACUACGUG
rnacentral:rRNA from 1 species